rnacentral:rRNA from 1 species
UGCGUAGGCGGAUUAAUAAGUCAGUGGUGAAAACCUGCAGCUUAACUGUAGGCUUGCCAUUGAUACUGUUAGUCUUGAGUACGGUCAAGGUAGGCGGAAUGUGUAAUGUAGCGGUGAAAUGCUUAGGUAUUACACAGAACACCGAUUGCGAAGGCAGCUUACUGGACCAUUACUGACGCUGAGGCACGAAAGCGUGGGGAGCGAACAGGAUUAGAUACCCUGGUAGUCC